rnacentral:rRNA from 1 species
UUCCGGUUGAUCCUGCCGGACCGGACUGCUAUCGGGGUGGGACUAAGCCAUGCGAGUCGAACGCCCCGGGCAAUGGCGGGGCGUGGCGUACGGCUCAGUAACAUACGGUCAACCUACCCUGUGGAUGGCCAUAACCUCGGGAAACUGAGGCUAAUGGCCAAUAGGGGAAAGGUGCUGGAAGGCCCUUUCCCCCAAAGGCCUAACCGCCCAUGCUGCGGUUAGGCGCCACAGGAUGGGACCGUAUCCCAUCAGGUAGACGGUAGGGUAACGGCCUACCGUGCCGAUAACGGGUACGGGCCCUGGGAGGGGGAGCCCGGAGAUGGCCACUGAGACAAGGGGCCAGGCCCUACGGGGCGCAGCAGGCGCGAAACCUCCGCUAUGCGCGAAAGCGCGACGGGGUCACCCCGAGUGCCGCCUGCUGAGGGCGGCUUUUGCCCAAUCCAAAAGGUUGGGCGAAUAAGGGGAGGGCAAGUUUGGUGUCAGCCGCCGCGGUAAUACCAACUCCCCGAGUGGUCCGGACGUUUAUUGGGCUUAAAGCGUCCGUAGCCGGCCCAAGAAGUCUCCGGUUAAAUCCAACGUCUCAAGCGUUGGACUGCCGGAGAUACUCUUGGGCUUGGGAGCGGAAGAGGCGGGCGGUACUCCCCGGGUAGGGGUAAAAUCCGAAAAUCCGGGGGGGACCAUCGGUGGCGAAGGCGGCCCGCCAGGACGCGUCCGACGGUGAGGGACGAAAGCUGGGGGAGCGAUCCGGAUUAGAUACCCGGGUAGUCCCAGCUGUAAACGAUGCGGGCUAGAUGCUGGGCAGACUUCGAGUCUGCCCAGUGUCGCAGGGAAGCCGUUAAGCCCGCCGCCUGGGGAAUACGGCCGCAAGGCUGAAACUUAAAGGAAUUGGCGGGGGAGCACCACAAGGGGUGAAGCUUGCGGUUUAAUUGGAUUCAACGCCGGGA